CUCUACUAUAUUUUCUUGCACUCUUCUUUUACAUAUUCCUAGUGCAUUUACAUUUAUACCAUAAACCUUUACAUAAAAUUUACAUUUUAAUGUUUGCUGUUUACACAUAGAAAUUGUCAUUUUUCUGUUAAUUUUGUGACCCUAACAUUUCAGUAAAACAUAUUCAGGCAUUCCAGUUUUCUCAAUUUUGUUGGGACAUGACAAACUGUUCUGAUUUUGCUCCCUGGUUUCCCUAAAGGCAAACUGUUCCAGAAUGUAUAUAGCUGACACACCAUCAGAUCCGCUUACUCUACCUCUCUGCAUUGUUUGCCUUUGCUGGGUCAGCCACCUUGAUAUACAUGCACCAUGGUGCCAGAGCCAGAUUUACAUGUAAGGUGCCUGAAGAAAUAAAACGAGUUUAAUAAAUGUAUUUACUGGGGGUUGCAAGCAUACAACCAUCUAAAUUCUACAUUAUCAUAUUUGACAACUGCAUCUCUAUAUGUAAGUGCAUAUUCCUGCUUGCAAUGUAUUGUGUUUGAGUCUAAGUAUAGUGGGUCUAUGCAGCGCUCAAAAUGCAUGGAGGGUUAAAGAUAAUAUUAGAAGUGGUUAAAGUAAAGGGUGGUUAAAAGUAAGAGAGGGGUUCAUUUCAGAGUUAGAUUGUAUAGUGUUAAAAAUGUAAAAAGCUAGAGAGGGGUUACAGUUGUGGUAGAAUAUAUGUUUAUUAUUGUUAGAUUGAGGGUUAGCGUAAGGUUAAUUUUAGCAUUGGAUACAUGGGGUGUUUAAUUUUUUAAAGUUAAACCUAGGAUUAAGGUAAAGAAUUUUCUUCUAGUUUAAGUUUGGAGUGCUUACAUUUGUAAGAAAACAGAAUUGGUUUGUUUAGGUUUUGGGAGGGGGAUUGCAUUUUACAUAGGGUUAGAAGUAAAGGUGUUUAGGGCAUGUGGCGUUUGAAGGGUUAUUUGCAAAUUACUCACCCUUCUACAGCUUCUGUAAUCCAGUUAGCCUCCUGUGAUUGCUGAGCUGCAGUAUCGGUUAUACAGUGUGCAUCAUUUAAUGCUGUCCUUUGUAAAGUGUGCACCAUUCGUUGCUGUCCCUACUCAUCCUGCAAAGCACUUUCAUUGUAAGAGGCUGUUUGCAGAUACUGGAGAAGCUAGGAUAGCACUGAGAUUUACACCCUCUAACUAUUCAAAAAACUAUGAAGCAUAGUAGUCUGAACAGAGCGGAUACUGGUCAAUCUUCCUGGCACUUAUCUGUCCCACUUAAACUCAAAAAAGCCACAUCAAAAUUGCAGAAAACAGGUUCCCCAUUGAGGACAAGCACCUGUAUGCAGGUGCCUACUCUGGCUAAUGGGAAAUGCAGCCAUGUCAUCACAUUAUGCACAUAUGCACCAGAUUAGAAUAUAUUUAAAUUCUCAGAGGCUACAGUUUUUCUAUAGUAGACACAUUCGGAAUACAAAUAGAUCAUGCUUGGUGAUACACCUCAGAGUUCUUUAUACCUUACUUAAUGUAAUGUUGUUAUUAAUGGUAAUUUUUCAAGCAGGAUAAAAG